rnacentral:lncRNA from 1 species
UCUUAACGGCUUAAAAUGGCCAUUUAUUAUUAUUCACAAGUCUGCAAUUCAGGCAGAACUCCAUGGAGAGGGUUUGCCUCUGCUCCACAUGGUGUUGGCUGGGGUGAGGAAUCCAAGAUGGCUCCAUCACAUGUCUGGUGUCUCAAGUUGGGCUGGCUGGACUGUUCUCUUUGAUGUGAUCUCUCAUCAUGCAGUAGUCCAGCCUGAGUUUCUUUCCAUGGCAGCUUACUCCCAAUCCCGGAAGCUUCAAUGCCU